GUGUCAAUGGAGAUGCUGUUCUUGAUUCGAAACAAGCCUCUUUUACUCGAUAUUUUAACACAAUUAUCUCUUACAUCAGUGAAGUUUACAGACUUUUCCUGUCAGUUAUUUGUAAAAGGAUUUGUUAAACUAUUCUUCAUUGUCAUGUUCCGAAUCAAGAACAGCAUCUCCAUUGACACCAGAAACAAGUUCUGCUUCAGAUGACUUUGAAGGCAACCUCUGAUACAUUCUGGAACUCAUAGGAAGCAGCCUACGCUGUCCAAUGGUGAGAGACUGGCUAAGCUUCUCAUAAUUCCAUCUCUGCUGAAUAUAGACUGCAACUGCCAGGAGAAUUG
rnacentral:misc_RNA from 1 species